rnacentral:rRNA from 1 species
GACGAACGCUGGCGGCGUGCCUAAUACAUGCAAGUUGAGCGCUGAAGGUUGGUACUUGUACCAACUGGAUGAGCAGCGAACGGGUGAGUAACGCGUGGGGAAUCUGCCUUUGAGCGGGGGACAACAUUUGGAAACGAAUGCUAAUACCGCAUAAAAACUUUAAACACAAGUUUUAAGUUUGAAAGAUGCAAUUGCAUCACUCAAAGAUGAUCCCGCGUUGUAUUAGCUAGUUGGUGAGGUAAAGGCUCACCAAGGCGAUGAUACAUAGCCGACCUGAGAGGGUGAUCGGCCACAUUGGGACUGAGACACGGCCCAAACUCCUACGGGAGGCAGCAGUAGGGAAUCUUCGGCAAUGGAUGAAAGUCUGACCGAGCAACGCCGCGUGAGUGAAGAAGGUUUUCGGAUCGUAAAACUCUGUUGGUAGAGAAGAACGUUGGUGAGAGUGAAAAGCUCAUCAAGUGACGGUAACUACCCAGAAAGGGACGGCUAACUACGUG